UACGAGGGGGGCUAGCGUUGCUCGGAAUUACUGGGCGUAAAGCGCACGUAGGCGGUCUUUUAAGUCGUGGGUGAAAUCCUGGAGCUCAACUCCAGAACUGCCUUCGAUACUGGAAGACUUGAGUCUGGGAGAGGUGAGUGGAACUGCGAGUGUAGAGGUGAAAUUCGUAGAUAUUCGCAAGAACACCAGUGGCGAAGGCGGCUCACUGGCCCGGUGCUGACACUGAGGUGCGAAAGCGUGGGGAGCAAACAGG
rnacentral:rRNA from 1 species